rnacentral:rRNA from 1 species
GAGUUUGAUCGUGGCUCAGGACGAACGCUGGCGGCGCGCUUAACACAUGCAAGUCGAGCGAGAACCUGGCCCUCGGGCCUGGGAAAGCGGCGAACGGGUGAGUAACACGUGGGUAACCCACCCUUGGUACCGGGAUAGCCCGGGGAAACCCGGAUUAAUACCGGAUGGCCCAACAGCUCUUCGGGGCGGUUGGAAAAGGUAGCUUCGGCCUCCGACCAAGGGACGGGCCCGCGGCGGAUUAGCUUGUUGGUGAGGUAACGGCCCACAAGGCGACGAUCCGUAGCUGGUCUGAGAGGACGAUCAGCCACACUGGGACUGAGACACGGCCCAGACUCCUACGGGAGGCAGCAGUGGGAAUCUUGCGCAAUGGGCGAAAGCCGUGACGCAGCGA